AAUAAACGCUGGCGGCGUGCCUAACACAUGCAAGUCGAGCGAGAAAGCUCCUUCGGGAGUUAGUAAAGCGGCGAACGGGUGAGCAACACGUGAGAAUCUACCCUUUAGUGAAGAAUACCCUCGAGAAAUCGAGGCUAAUACUGCAUACGUCCCUUCGGGGAGAAAGAUGGCCUCUUUGCUAUCGCUAAAGGAUGAGCUUGCGUACUAUUAGCUAGUUGGCGGGGUAAAGGCCCACCAAGGCAAUGAUGGUUAACCGGCCUGAGAGGGUGUACGGUCACACUGGAACUUAGACACGGUCCAGACUCCUACGGGAGGCAGCAGUGAGGAAUCUUGCGCAAUGGGCGAAAGCCUGACGCAGCGACGCCGCGUGGAGGAUGACGGUUUUCGGAUUGUAAACUCCUGUUAAGCGGGAAGAAAGCCUUGUUUCUAAUACAAGCAAGGUAUGACGGUACCGCUAGAGAAAGCACCGGCUAACUUCGUG
rnacentral:rRNA from 1 species